rnacentral:rRNA from 1 species
GAGUUUGAUCCUGGCUCAGAGUGAACGCUGGCGGCGUGCCUAAUACAUGCAAGUCGAACGAUGAAGCUCUAGCUUGCUAGAGUGGAUUAGUGGCGCACGGGUGAGUAAUGCAUAGAUAACAUGCCCUUUAGUCUAGGAUAGCCAUUGGAAACGAUGAUUAAUACUGGAUACUCCUUACGAGGGAAAGUUUUUCGCUAAAGGAUUGGUCUAUGUCCUAUCAGCUUGUUGGUGAGGUAAUGGCUCACCAAGGCUAUGACGGGUAUCCGGCCUGAGAGGGUGAACGGACACGCUGGAACUGAGACACGGUCCAGACUCCUACGGGAGGCAGCAGUAGGGAAUAUUGCUCAAUGGGGGAAACCCUGAAGCAGCAACGCCGCGUGGAGGAUGAAGGUUUUCGGAUUGUAAACUCCUUUUGUUAGAGAAGAUAAUGACGGUAUCUAACGAAUAAGCACCGGCUAACUCCGUG